rnacentral:piRNA from 1 species
UUCCUCCCGUGGAUGCUGUCACGACCC